rnacentral:rRNA from 1 species
UACGGGGGGAGCAAGCGUUGUUCGGAUUUACUGGGCGUAAAGGGCGCGUAGGCGGUCAGCACAAGUCAGUUGUGAAAUCUCCGAGCUUAACUCGGAAAGGUCAACUGAUACUGUGCGACUAGAGUGCAGAAGGGGCAACUGGAAUUCUUGGUGUAGCGGUGAAAUGCGCAGAUAUCAGGAGGAACACCGGUGGCGAAGGCGGGUCUCUGGGCCGUAACUGACGCUGAGGAGCGAAAGCGUGGGGAGCGAACAGG